rnacentral:tRNA from 1 species
CGGGGCGUGGCGCAGCCUGGCAGCGCGCCUGCUUUGGGAGCAGGAGGUCCCGGGUUCAAAUCCCGGCGCCCCGA